rnacentral:rRNA from 1 species
UUUUGGUGAGGUGCCUUCCGAGUUCCCUGGAACGGGACGCCAUAGAGGGUGAGAGCCCCGUCUGGUUGGACACCGAUCCUCUGUAAAGCUCCUUCGACGAGUCGAGUAGUUUGGGAAUGCUGCUCUAAAUGGGAGGUAUAUGUCUUCUAAAGCUAAAUACCGGCCAGAGACCGAUAGCGCACAAGUAGAGUGAUCGAAAGAUGAAAAGAACUUUGAAAAGAGAGUUAAACAGUACGUGAAAUUGUUGAAAGGGAAGCGCUUGUGACCAGACUUGGGCUUGGUUGAUCAUCCGGGGUUCUCCCCGGUGCACUCUUCCGGCUCAGGCCAGCAUCAGUUCGCCCUGGGGGAUAAAGGCUUCGGGAAUGUGGCUCUCUCCGGGGAGUGUUAUAGCCCGCUGCGUAAUACCCUGUGGC